rnacentral:rRNA from 1 species
UACAGAGGCCACGAGCGUUAGGCGGAAUCACUGGGCUUAAAGCGUGUGUAGGUGGAUCGGUAAGUACCUUGUAAAAUCCCACGGCUCAACCGUGGAACUGCUUGGUAUACUGCCAGUCUUGAGGCACUCAGGGGCGAGCGGAACAGAUGGUGGAGCGGUGAAAUGCGUAGAUAUCAUCUGGAACGCCAAUGGUGAAGACAGCUCGCUGGGGGUGUACUGACACUGAGACACGAAAGCCAGGGGAGCGAA